rnacentral:rRNA from 1 species
CCUACGGGGGGCUGCAGUGGGGAAUAUUGCACAAUGGGGGAAACCCUUAUGCAGCAACGCCGCGUGAGCGAAGAAGGCCUUCUGGUCGUAAAGCUCUGUCCUAAGGGAAGAAGCAUGACGGUACCUUAGGAGGAAGCCCUGGCUAACUACGUGCCAGCAGCCGCGGUAAUACGUAUGGGGCGAGCGUUAUCCGGAAUUACUGGGCGUAAAGGGUGCGUAGGCCGCCCUUCAAGUCGGAGGUGAAAGGAUACGGCUCAACCGUAGUAAGCCUUUGAAACUGUAGGGCUUGAGUGAAGGGGAGGAGAGUGGAAGUCCCAGUGUAGCGGUGAAAUGCGUAGAUAUUGGGAGGAACACCAGUUGCGAAGGCGGCUAUAUGGACUGUAACUGACGCUGAGGCACGAAAGCGUGGGGAGCGAACAGGCUUAGAUACCCCAGUAGUC